AAUGUGAUGUGAUGAGCCCAUUACCACCCGUCUGAUAUAAAGUGACUGACUGGUUUCUCUGAUUUACA